AUUGAACGCUGGCGGCAGGCCUAACACAUGCAAGUCGAGCGGAUGAAGGGAGCUUGCUCCUGGAUUCAGCGGCGGACGGGUGAGUAAUGCCUAGGAAUCUGCCUGGUAGUGGGGGAUAACGUCCGGAAACGGGCGCUAAUACCGCAUACGUCCUGAGGGAGAAAGUGGGGGAUCUUCGGACCUCACGCUAUCAGAUGAGCCUAGGUCGGAUUAGCUAGUUGGUGGGGUAAAGGCCUACCAAGGCGACGAUCCGUAACUGGUCUGAGAGGAUGAUCAGUCACACUGGAACUGAGACACGGUCCGGACUCCUACGGGAGGCAGCAGUGGGGAAUGUUGGACAAUGGGCGAAAGCCUGAUCCAGCCAUGCCACGUGUGUGAAGAAGGUCUUCGGAUUGUAAAGCAGUUUAAGUUGGGAGGAAGGGCAGUAAGUUAAUACCUUGCUGUUUUGACGUUACCAGCAGAAUAAGCACCGGCUAACUUCGUG
rnacentral:rRNA from 1 species